GCUCGGAUGGCAGAUCGGCAAUGCGACCGCCUGCAGUUAAGAUAGUUGAGAGCGGUUCAGGGGAGUUCAAUUCUCCCUCCGAGCU
rnacentral:tRNA from 1 species